rnacentral:tRNA from 2 species
GCUGCCGUAGCUCAGUGGUAGAGCACUCCCUUGGUAAGGGAGAGGUCGUGAGUUCAAUCCUCCCCGGCAGCACCA